UCUUUUCUUUUUCUCCUCUCUCGUUCUUCUUUCUUCUUUUCUUCUUCUCUUUUCUUUUCCGGCGAUUCUGAGAAUCAAUUUAAGGGAAUCGAUCGAUGAUGUUGUUAGUAUAUAAUCAGAGAAGGUUUGGUGGUGUUCAUGUUGGUUAAUCAUGAGAAGAAGAGGAGAUGACGAUCUGUAGAGAAACCAGAUAGUUCAAGCCAUAGAAGAAUUGAUUAAUUGAAGGAGGAUUUGAUUAGUUGGUGAUGAAGAACAAAAGGGGUUAGUGUUUAAUUGAAGUUCUGAAGAUGAUUCAGUGAUGAAUUGGUAAGUUAGAGUUUCAUGAGGAGAUAUCUGAGAAGAUUUAGAAAGGGAAUAUGAUGAUAUAGAUAGAUGAUUAGAAGUGGGUUUGGUCGAUUGAGAAACGGGGUGAAGUUAAUUAGAUGUUGGGGAUGUUCUGAGGAAGAAUUGGAGAAUUAGGGUGUGUUUUUGAGAUGAAGAUAUCCAGAAAAGGUUGAAGAAUCAGUUGAGAUAUUGAUGGGUUAUGGUGGCAGUGUUAACUCAAGUGUUGAUUCAACUCAGAUUGAUGAACAUAAGAUGAAUUAGGGGUUUAGAAGAAUUGUUUGAUGAAUCAACAAUUCAGAAGGUGUUAUUGCUUGGGUAAGCUUUUAAUUUCUUAACCUUGAUAUUUGGAGUUGAAUUGCUGCGAUUCAUUUGAGUUUAUAUGUUUGUGUUUUAACUGAGGUUGAGGUGAUCAAACAAUGAAACUGUGGAGGUAGUUAAAAGUGGUUUUUCUAGUGAAAGGAUUUUUGAGUUUGAGUUAUUGUCUAAGAUGAUUUUUGUUUGAUGGAAAUUGCAGAUGGAGCUAUUGGUGUUGUAGCUACUAUUAUGUGGAUGGAUAGUUGGAUGGGUAUGUCUGUGGUAUAAUUGAAUUCGUAGUGCUUGUAUAAAUUAGUUGUGCAAACUGAAGUAAGAAGUGACUAAGUAUGAGAUUCACAUGAAUCAAAGAAGUAUUGUGUUAUGUGAAUUGGUUUGAGUUGAACUGUUAUUACUCAGACUAGCAGAGAUUGUAGAAAAUGUAAUUGUAGAAGGAUGUUAACUUGAGCUGUAAUUGUAGGUGGUAUGAGGAUUGAAUUAAAAUGCUAUAUAUGGUGAAUGAUGUGUAUUGAUAGAGUUGUAACUGCAGAACAGAAGUAGAUGUGGUGAUGUUGAGUUGGUUAUGGUGUCAGUCGAGCUGUAAAAUGAAUUAGCUGUUACGGUGAUGAAGGAGGCUGAGUCUAAUUGAACUGGUAAUGCUGAGAUUAGGUUGUGUGUUUGAGUUGGUAAUAUGGAGAAAGGUUAGAGUGGUAAAUAUUUGGUUCCAUUUAGGAGUAGAAUCCGUGGAGGCUUGCUGUUGCAGGUAAGCUGAAUUUUCGAUAGUGAUUAAAUUAUGAAGUUUAUUUAGAAAGAAUAAUUGAAUUUCUUUUGAGUUGUUAAGAAGAUGAUGUUAUGUGACUGAGUUUUAGGAAUGAAGAUUUGAUGAGUGAGUAUGGAGUUGAAUCUCUCUUGUAAAAUCUUAGAGCUGCAACUGCAGUUAGUCUAUAUUAACAACGACCAAUACAAAGGAUGAACCGGUGGAUCGUGGAUCUCGAGGUAGGCGUGGCUUGUCAUCCAAAGAGAAGAUGGAUGGUCACGGUAGACGUAAUACUGAAGACCAUGGUUGUGGUAGAGGUCGCAGCCGACGUCGUGGACGAAGGAGUGAGGAUUUAGUUGAGGAUUCUUUGGCAGAAAGUAACUCACGCAAUGUUGAUAGUAGAUCUCAAUCUCGUAGGACUAGGUCCACUGGUAGCUCUCGAUCUCGUAGGACUAGGUCCACUAAUGGCUCUCGAUCUGUUCAUACCGAAGGAAAAGAGGGUGGUCCUAAUGCCUUAACGUUAGAGAAUCUUCAGAAAAUGUUGAAUACAGCGAUCACAGCGGCAUUAAAUCAGAAGCUUGGUCCGCGUGGAGGUAUGGAAUAUGUGGCAUCCCCAGAAAUAAAUGGACCUGCAAUUAUAGAGAGAAACACGAAGCCUUGGGUAUAGUAUCACCAAGAUUUUCUAAAGAUGAAACCCAUUUGUUCAGAAGAAAGGGAGGUGCAACUGAAGCACAUUAGUGGUGCACAAAAAUGGAUAGGAUACUAGCUCAGUUUGAUUGUUCUGAGGAUUAUAAGCAGAGCACGACCGCUUUCCUAUUGGAGGGUAAUGCAAAAACUUGGUGGGAGUCGAUGGGAAGGACAAUUGAUGUGAUGGAGGUUACUUGUACAAGAUUCAAAGAUUUGUUCCUUAUACUCUCUUUUUUUCCCAGUCGAGCGCCAAUAUAUGAUUAGGCAGUUUGAAGAGCUGGUGCAAACGGAAGAUCAAAUAGAGGGUGGAUAUGAGUGUGAGUUUGACCGCUUAUCACUAUUUGUUGCUCAUCUUACAAUAUAUGCCAAUUGUUAGUACGAUUUAGGGAAAUUUAAAAUCAUACUCACUUAAGAAUGCGUAUAAUUUCAUACGCAUUUUCAGACCGAGUAUAACAUACUUAUUUUUGAAUCAUACAUAAAUAAUAUAGAAUGAGCCAGAACUCAUACACAUUGUCAAACAGGAAUGAGUAUGAGUUCUUAACUCGAA